AUUGAACGCUGGCGGCAGGCCUAACACAUGCAAGUCGAACGAGUGGCGGACGGGUGAGUAAUGUCUGGGAAACUGCCAGAUGGAGGGGGAUAACUACUGGAAACGGUAGCUAAUACCGCAUACCAUCGAAUGUGCCCAGAUGGGAUUAGCUAGGAGGGGGGGUAAAGGCUCACCUAGGCGACGAUCCCUAGCUGGUCUGAGAGGAUGACCAGCCACACUGGAACUGAGACACGGUACAGACUCCGACGGGAGGCAGCAGUGGGGAAUAUUGCACAAUGGGCGCAAGCCUGAUGCAGCCAUGCCGCGUGUAUGAAGAAGGCCUUCGGGUUGUAAAGUACUUUCAGCGAGGAGGCGUUACUCGCAGAAGAAGCACCGGCUAACUCCGUGCCAGCCGCCGCGGUAAUUC
rnacentral:rRNA from 1 species